UCAUCAUGAUAAUUGGUGAUAAUAUUUUUUAUCAUAAUCUCUCGUCCAAGUUUUGUUAGCAGCCAGAUCGACUUUAGCACUUUCAACAUGUUUUUGUUUAAUGAACACAAUUUGACCAAAUUAAACUUGUCUGCCAUUGCACUCACAAUCACUGUAACACAGUUUUCUAAACAGGUGUAUGUUUUUGGCAAUCUUGUUGUUCAUUUAUUUGGAUUAUGAACUGAGUGAAAAAAUGAGCCCUGUCUAAGCAUAAAUACCAUAAUAAUUUAUGCACUUGGCGUAAUUUUCUUGACAAUUUACAUAUCUUCGGUGUACUGCUUACAUUGCAAAACUGUGCAAUGCUAUGUAGAGUUUACGCCCUGUGUCUAACUUCAUGUCAAAUGGUGACUUGCCUACUUAAAAUGACCUUGUUGAGAUGAAUAGGAUAAUCUCGUGCUGAUGCAACUGUUUCACGUUGCUGCUAUUUUAUUUUACAGGAAAACAUGUCAAUUUACAAAGCACCCUUCCAUGAAAAUCUGGCCAAGCUAAUAAAUAAUGUGAAUGCAUCAACGUGACCCUUCAGAGAAACAGGAUUCCAGGCCGAAUGUCAAACCGUCUGGGCUCCAGCAGCAGCCUCAGCCGUGGGGGUCAGGUUCAUGAUGCACCUAUGCUCUCAAUGCUCUCUGAACAUCUUAAUCUCAUAGCAACAGUGGACCAACAUGACCUUCAAGUUGGGGAUGGUUGAGGGUCUCCCAAAACCACCCAGUGCCUUGCGAUGAAAACCUCCAACAGGACUGUGACCUUGCCCUUGGACUCACCUAAUGGUCAGGUUCAAGGUCACAUGGGCUUAGAUAGUCACUGCAGUAAAAAAGUGUAUGGUUUUAAAGGUACUUGUUCACAGAUUUCAUGAGUUGUUUGAUUGACCAGACUGACAUAACUAAAGCACAUUUAAAGUGGCUAUAUAUACAUAAUAUAAAAAAAACAUACAAACAUAUAACUACAAAGAAUACCAAUAUUUGCAGUAUGGUAUUGCGAAUUGCUUUUACUGCUUUUAAUACAAAAUAAUAUUAAUAAUCUCAGUUAAAAACCCAAAAGAAGGCAGUUUUUAUAAUUUUCUUUCUUAAUUUUGUAUAAAAUUACUUUAGGUUAUCCCAUAAACUGUGUUGUUGUGGUUUUAAUAAUGUUUGAAAAAUGAUAUUGAAAACUCGAUGACCAAGUUAUAUUAUAUUGUUCCAUCUGUAUUUGUAAACAAAAUGACUGCAGAACAGGACAUCACUUUGUUAAUGUAUUAACAUUUACCUUUAAAUUUGUAUUUUUUUACAAUUUUGUAUUUGUAUACAGGUGGUGCGAAUGUCAAGUGGUAACACACUGUUCUACCAAUCCAGAGGUCCCUGGUUCAAUUCCUGGCCUAGGCACUGAAAAUUUCAGAAGUGCUUCAAGUGUUUCCCACCCAUCUAGAGAUGUACUGGUAUGAAACCCAGGUAAUUCUCGCGUGUAUCGGUUCUAUACACUGAGCACGUAAAAGAACCAAGGGAUCUAUUCGCAAAGAGCUAGGGUAUCGCACCCGGAUUCCUUGUAUCUCAAUACUGUCUCUUCUGCUUGCUGUCUAUUCAGCAAAAACCAAGGACCCCAUUGGAAAUAAGUGUUUGCACUUUCAUGGGUUAUGCUUGACUGCAAGGUCAAAAGAAAUACACAUACACAUUUGUCAAAAUGACUAAACAAGGGCAUCAACAGAAACAUGUUCAUUUAAAUAUUGCUCAAUCACUGACAGUAAACGGAAAUUCUACAGAAAGAAAAAUACUUUAAAAUAUUGCUCCAUUGUUUUACUGUAAACGAAUUGACUACAGAACAGGAAUAUAUCUUUUAACAUUUCCCUUAAAAUAUUUUAUAUAAUUUUCAGUAAAGAAGACUUCACAACAUGACAUCCGAGACUGCAGGGACGAAGUGACUCACGUCAGCAGAGGAAGCCAAGACACAAUACGAGAAUUUCCAGCGGCUUACCUGCUUAAAACCUGGGUAGCGGAGCAAUGAGUAUGUCCCAGGAGCAUUUGCAGUCACAGCAAGUGAACCAGCGGCAGUCAUCGUCUCCAGAUUCCGAGAUCCCCAUGCUUCACAACCCUCAGUCUAUGAACAUCAUUUCAGAGCGAACCUUGGACAUCCAUUGACUAAAUCAAACCGGCAAAUCAGAAGGACAGCCUGUUGCUACAGUUGUUAUCAUAUUAACCCCAGUCAUACCGAAGAAGCUCAGAGAUAUUAAUGCUGUUUAAGAUGUGAUUGUCUCUACAUACCCCAUGUCUGGUGUGAACAUGUACAAUUGAAAGUCUCUACAUACCCCAUGUCUGGUGUGAACAUGUACAAUUGAAGGUCUCUACAUACCUCAUGUCUGGUGUGAACAUGUACAAUUGAAGGUCUCUACAUACUCCAUGUCUGGUGUGAACAUGUACAAUUGAAGGUCUCUACAUACCCCAUGUCUGGUGUGAACAUAUACAAUUGAAGGUCUGUACAUACUCCAUGUCUGGUGUGAACAUGUACAAUUGAAGGUCUCUACAUACCCCAUGUCUGGUGUGAACAUGUACAAUUGAAGGUCUCUACAUACCCCAUGUCUGGUGUGAACAUGUACAAUUGAAGAUCUCUACAUACCUCAUGUCUGGUGUGAACAUGUACAAUUGAAGGUCUCUACAUACCCCAUGUCUGGUGUGAACAUGUACAAUUGAAGGUCUCUACAUACUCCAUGUCUGCUGUGAACAUGUACAAUUGAAGGUCUCUACAUACCCCAUGUCUGGUGUGAACAUGUACAAUGGAAGGUCUCUAUAUACCCCAUGUCUGGUGUGAACAUGUACAAUUGAAGGUCUCUACAUACUCCAUGUCUGGUGUGAACAUGUACAAUUGAAGGUCUCUACAUACUCCAUGUCUGGUGUGAACAUGUACAAUUGAAGGUCUCUACAUACCCCAUGUCUGGUGUGAACAUAUACAAUUGAAGGUCUGUACAUACUCCAUGUCUGGUGUGAACAUGUACAAUUGAAGGUCUCUACGUAACCUAUGUCUGGUGUGAACAUGUACAAUUGAAGGUCUCUACAUACCCCAUGUCUGGUGUGAACAUGUACAAUUGAAGUAUCUAAAUACCCCGUGUCCGGUGUGAACAUGUACAAUUGAAGGUCUCAUCUUUGAAAUUGGGACAGGUGGAAAAUUAAUGAAUUGAUGCAGACAGAAGUCGCAUAAUGACAAAUCACAACAAAAAGUGGAAAUCCAGACAGUCUUGUGGCCAGCCAUGUUUUUAUGGGACCAUCCAAGUUGUGUUCAAAGAAAACAAUAGUUCAUGUUUUAUUGGUACUAUGAUGCUGAUAGUCAUUUUAUGUAAAAGGCUUUUAUGAACUAUAUUUAAAUACUCAGUAUAAUAAGAUUAAGAUUACUUGAUAAAAGCAAUAAUGAACAAUAUUAUUUUAAGAGCAAAAUUAGCAAGUCUAUCCAAUUACUGUGUCUGUAUUAUGAAAUUUUAUUUUGGAAAUGUUAAGGAAAAUAUAAUGUUACUAAAUAUAUGUCUAUGAAUGUUGAUUUUAACAUUUGUCAAAGCUGUUUAAAUGAUGCUGGUAACUUUGACAAAAUUAAAAGAAAAUGUAUUCUUUUCAUGUAAUGAGACAUGCUUUAGUUUUUUUUGGCUUAACAUGUAAUAUAGAGGUGGUAGUUACACUCAUUGUUUAGACAGGUGGAUAAUUUUAAUGCUAAGGCUUUGAUACUCUUAAGUGUGCCCAUUGGUGUCAGGUGUUUAUGUCAAGCAUCUUGUUUAUCAUCUUAGUAUUUCAAGAUAAUAUUGAUUAACUUUAGACAAAAUCAUUUAAUCUUCCUUAAAUUGUCUAUUCUGUAUUUACUACCAGUUAUUUAUUAAUUUGCUUGAACAUGAUUUAAGAAUGACUUUUUUGUUGCUUAAAAUGCUUUAUAUGUUUUACAACUGAGCAUUUAAAAACGAAAAUAUAGGAUGUGGGAAUAAUGUCUAAAGUUAUGAUAAUUAUUUUGUGUUUUUGUAAAGUUAAUUAUGCCUUAUAUGUUUGUGUAUAGACAUUAAGACGACCAGAUUAACCUGACCAAGAAUCCUUGAUCAAUGUAUAUAUCGGUCAGUUCAUUUGUCAUUUGUAUAUAGAACGAUUGCGAAAUGAUUGUAUUGUUAAUGAAAAUCAUGCGUUUAUUGUUGUCAUUUUGAUUUUUCGCUGUUAACAUGUAUUUGUACAAACAAUUUUCAUCAUGUACAUCUUUUAGAUGCCAGAUAAUAAAAACAAACAUUGCUUGUGGAGAUGCUCAUUUAAAACUUUCUUAAUGAUACAGAACAACACAUUCUGAAGAGGCUAAUAUCCUUUAGACAAUAGGAACAUCUUGUUACUAGUAUAUGUAAUGCCUUUCACUAAAUAAAGUCAAGCAACUAUCGAAAGAUUGGUUUAACUUUGUUUUGCAUUAUCUUAAGAAAAAUUAAUGUAUUCAACUUGGAAAUCGGUCAAUUUCAAAUCAAGCGAGAAUGAUGAAUAUUUGUACGCAAGAUAAGGGAUGUUUUUGCUUGGAAAAAAGUGGUAUCCCUUGUAAGAUAAUGAUUCUGUUCAUCUCUCAACAUAAGAAGUGGCUUAAUAAAGCUUUUAAAAAUAUGACACACUUAAUACUCAGCCAUCUGUUUGUAUUGGGGUUUUGUGGAAUACUUACUUAACUAAUAUACGUCUGUUCAAUGAAUUAAUAGUUAUGGUACAAUAUGAUACUCAUUGUUAAAAAACAUGUGUAAUAAAAAUAUAAUGGCAUUUAUUUGAAAUCAUAAAAUUUAGUUUUCCAUACAAUGCUUACAGUUUUGCAAUUGCGACGAUAAAGUAAAUGUUCUGCUCAAAAUGUCUGUUAAAGACAUGUGUAUAUUGUAGCAAUUAUAUUGUACUUGUAUUUAUAUUUAACAUGAUAUUAAUUGAUUUAUGGCUGAUGAUAGCGGCAGUUUACUAGUUGUGUAACAGUUUGUUUCACUCGAUCAUCAGACCAUAUUUCCUUAAAAAUGUGAUUGUUCAUAAUGAACUGUAAUUGAAUGCAUGAAACAUUGUUGUUCUGUUGCUUAACAGCUGAAAAUAGCUUGAUGUUUGUUAAUUGUAUGAAAUGUUUCAAAUGAAUCAUAUUGAUACAUAGAAAAUAAAAUUACAUUAUUCGUUAAUUUGAAUGCAUAUCAAAAGAUUGUUACCAUACAAGCAUAUUUGUGUUGAACUUAAUUGAUACUUUGAGAUGCAAUUUUUACAAUAAUGUAUAAAUAUUUUCAUCUAUUCCAAAUGAACAUUUUGCAUUCGUUAAUAUAGGGUUUAUAUAUACUUUAUAAAAACUUAUUAAAUGCUUUAUAUAAAUUGAUUGUGUACCUCAUAUUGAUUAAAGACUCUUAUUUAUUGCACAGUUGUGUGUGCAUAUGUCUGACUUAUGUCUAUAUAGUCCUUAAAGUUAAAUUACUGCAAAUAGUAUUUUAAUAAUGUUAAAAUAUUUAUCUAAACUAUAACCAGGUUAUCUGUUAAAUUAAGUUUCAUACAUUUGCAUCGUCUAGCUAAUUGAAGUGUUUAUAUUCUCGCCUACAUGCAGUGUAUGGUUUAGACAAAGCACAUUACACAACUCAUGUUGUUUUAUCCAUCAUUAUUAACCAGUGUUUAGUCCGUAGAAGUUAACGUAUACUAAAUAUUUCGGUUGUGCAAUGCUUUGCUCUCUAAAUAAAUCAACACCAUUUAUUGAUUUUCUAUGUGGGCACUUGAAUUCCCAUGACUUUAUUUGUGAAUAUUUCUUUGAAUGUGCGGUAGGGAAAACAUUGUUUGCUUGAAGGUUUAGAAACUUAAUGUUGGCAUCUUGAAAGAUGGCAGAAAACAUUUUACUGCAGAGUAGCUGUGAAAAGAUGUAUGUUGAACAAUGUAAGACAGAACUGCACGCAAGAUAUGUCAUGCAUUCGAUAUGCAUGAACUAUCUUUUUUAAUUAAUUUGGAUAGGAAUUAUCUUUUAGAAAUGGUAUGGUUAUAAGGGUCCCUAGUGCAAAAUGUUGCAUUUAUUUUGUGUACAAGAUAUUGCUUAAACAUUGAAUUUGUUAUGGAAAUAAUAUAGUUUAUGUGACUUAAAGAGAUAUACAUGUUUAUGUCAGUGAUGUGUUUUGCUGAUCCAAGUCUGUUCCUGCACACUAUUUAAAGUAGAUAACUACAAGUUAUCUCAUUUACUAGUAAAUGGGAAUAGUAUUGUACUGUGAAAAAGUGUUGCGAGUUCAAAUAAAAAUACUAUGAA